UGGCGGACGGGUGAGUAUCGCGUAGGGAUCUAUCCAUGGGUGGGGGAUAACAUCGGGAAACUGGUGCUAAUACCGCAUGAUACCUGAGGGUCAAAGGCGCAAGUCGCCUGUGGAGGAGCCUGCGUUCGAUUAGCUUGUUGGUGGGGUAAAGGCCUACCAAGGCGAUGAUCGAUAGCUGGUCUGAGAGGAUGAUCGGCCACACUGGGACUGAGACACGGCCCAGACUCCUACGGGAGGCAGCAGUGGGGAAUAUUGGACAAUGGGCGAAAGCCUGAUCCAGCAAUGCCGCGUGUGUGAAGAAGGUCUUCGGAUUGUAAAGCACUUUCGACGGGGACGAUGAUGACGGUACCCGUAGAAGAAGCCCCGGCUAACUUCGUGCCAGCAGCCGCGGUAAUACGAAGGGGGCUAGCGUUGCUCGGAAUGACUGGGCGUAAAGGGCGCGUAGGCGGUUUACACAGUCAGAUGUGAAAUUCCAGGGCUUAACCUUGGGGCUGCAUUUGAUACGUGUAGACUAGAGUGUGAGAGAGGGUUGUGGAAUUCCCAGUGUAGAGGUGAAAUUCGUAGAUAUUGGGGAGAACACCGGUGGCGAAGGCGGCAACCUGGCUCAUUACUGACGCUGAGGCGCGAAA
rnacentral:rRNA from 1 species